rnacentral:rRNA from 1 species
GCUUAAUGAAGGUAACCCAGGGAACUGAAACAUCUAAGUACCUGGAGGAAGAGAAAGAAAAAUCGAUUUUCUUAGUAGCGGCGAGCGAAAGGGAAAGAGCCCAAACCGGAAACUUGUUUCCGGGGUUGUGGACAUAACAUAAUAGUGGAGGCUAUUGUAACUGAAGAGAACUGGAAAGUUCCACCGUAGAAGGUAAUAGUCCUGUAAGUGAAACGAGAAGACCACGAGUUAUGAUCCAGAGUACCACGAGACACGUGAAACCUUGUGGGAAGCAGGGAGGACCACCUCCCAAGGCUAAAUACUACCUGAUGACCGAUAGUGAAGCAGUACCGUGAGGGAAAGGUGAAAAGAACCCCGGGAGGGGAGUGAAAUAGAACCUGAAACCGUGUGCCUACAACCGCUCAGAGCCCCUUAUGAGGGUGAUGAGGUGCUUUUUGUAGAACGAGCCAACGAGUUACGGUA